ensembl:scaRNA Gm26083 predicted gene, 26083
ACGGUCUGGGAAAAGGCUCCUGUGUGGCUGUACCCGCCCGAGGUGGGUGCAGCCCCGUACCAGACAGCCCGACCUUGACCUAAAGUAAAACCCCAGAGGAGGAGGAUCCUCUUCCCUGGGGUUAGAAUUUGCAGUAACAGGUGUGGACAUCCUAGCAGCAGUUUGGUGGUCAUGUAUGAUACUGCAAACAGGA